rnacentral:rRNA from 1 species
UACAGAGGUCUCAAGCGUUGUUCGGAUUCAUUGGGCGUAAAGGGUGCGUAGGUGGCGCGGUAAGUCGGGUGUGAAAUCUCGGGGCUUAACUCCGAAACUGCAUUCGAUACUGCCGUGCUUGAGGACUGGAGAGGAGACUGGAAUUUACGGUGUAGCAGUGAAAUGCGUAGAUAUCGUGAGGAAGACCAGUGGCGAAGGCGGGUCUCUGGACAGUUCCUGACGCUGAGGCGCGAAGGCCAGGGGAGCAAACGGG